rnacentral:rRNA from 1 species
UACGAAGGGGGCUAGCGUUGCUCGGAAUCACUGGGCGUAAAGGGUGCGUAGGCGGGUCUUUUAAGUCAGGGGUGAAAUCCUGGAGCUCAACUCCAGAACUGCCUUUGAUACCGAGGAUCUUGAGUUCGGGAGAGGUGAGUGGAACUGCGAGUGUAGAGGUGAAAUUCGUAGAUAUUCGCAAGAACACCAGUGGCGAAGGCGGCUCACUGGCCCGAUACUGACGCUGAGGCACGAAAGCGUGGGGAGCAAACAGGG